UUACAUUUUGUCUUUGGUGUCUCUUCCAU
rnacentral:piRNA from 1 species